CUAAGCAAAAGCUAUGGUCGUGUCUUCAUGGUGUCGUGAACUCAGAGGAGGACGUGAAAUGAUUUGCAUAAGGAAUAUCAUUGAUCAGAAAGCUCCUAGAGUCCAAACAUGAGGCGCAGGGCUGGACAUGACACAAAAGACCCCAAACAGGAGCUCUCCGUGGCCAGACCUGCGGGACUAGAAAAGUCAAAUAAGAUGUUGUUUCUCCCCCUUGUGAGCUACGAAUGAAAGCAGAUACAUCCGGAUGCAGCCCUCGAGGUGCUGUGGUGGCUGGUGUGAACUGACUCACUCGACUUUGUCUUCCUUCUUUCUGGUGGCUGUGUCGUGUUUUCUCGAACGUCUCUCAGCAUGUGUCUUCCUCACUCCAGAACGCUGCCGCAGCUCACGGACCUCUUAAAGUCUUCUUUUGAACUCGGGUGCAAUAUAAAUAAAGAGCUGAUGGAAACCCUCAGCAGUGAGAAGCUACCUUGGCAUCAUCUAUGGAGGAGGCCUUACCUGAGAGCGGAGGCUGGAAAGGACAUGCCCACAGCCGUGCCCGUCUGUGGCCUGGGUACCGUUCUCCCCCAAAUUCUGGACCCACACGGAUCCCAAGACCUCCUGGAGGAACACUCUUCUAAUACUACGGACCUGUCUGCACACGGCGGUGGACGUGUUCCUGGCGGGUUUAUUUCCGCUCUGGAUGGAAAAGUCCAGUUGAGAGAGAGAGAGGUUGUGAAAACAGGAGACGGAAGAAAUAAUUAA
rnacentral:lncRNA from 1 species